rnacentral:lncRNA from 10 species
GUUAAAUAUUUACUGAGAACAACUGUAUUUGCUGGGUAUUGUGCAAGGCACUAAUAAUAACAGAAAGACUCCUGGAGUGAAGCCAGGAAAUCAGAACUGUGUGCUGUCUUCUCCAUGUGCAAGCUUUGCUCCUGGGGAGUGUGUGGAAGGAAAGCUUGGGGGAUGUAGAAAGAACAAGAGGCAGAAGGAAGAGUCCUUGUCUUUGGAAACAGAGAAGAUCAAAAUAUGCACAUAUGACAUCACUGGAGAAACUUACAAUUCAGCAUCUAACCCCAAAGGAGCUCAGGUAGUACAGCUUCUUAUGGGAGGAGCGGUCAAGGAUGGGGGAAUAUAAAUGA